rnacentral:rRNA from 1 species
GACGAACGCUGGCGGCGUGCUUAACACAUGCAAGUCGAACGGAAAGGCCCUGCUUUUGUGGGGUGCUCGAGUGGCGAACGGGUGAGUAACACGUGAGUAACCUGCCCUUGACUUUGGGAUAACUUCAGGAAACUGUGGCUAAUACCGGAUAGGAGCUCCUGCUGCAUGGCGGGGGUUGGAAAGUUUCGGCGGUUGGGGAUGGACUCGGGGCUUAUCAGCUUGUUGGUGGGGUAGUGGUUUACCAAGGCUUUGACGGGUAGCCGGCCUGAGAGGGUGACCGGCCACAUUGGGACUGAGAUACGGCCCAGACUCCUACGGGAGGCAGCAGUGGGGAAUAUUGCACAAUGGGCGGAAGCCUGAUGCAGCAACGUCGCGUGCGGGAUGACGGCCUUCGGGUUGUAAACCGCUUUCGCCUGUGACGAAGCGUGAGUGACGGUAAUGGGUAAAGAAGCACCGGCUAACUACGUG